rnacentral:rRNA from 1 species
AGUGAACGCUGGCGGUAGGCCUAACACAUGCAAGUCGAACGGCAGCACAGUAAGAGCUUGCUCUUACGGGUGGCGAGUGGCGGACGUGUGAGGAAUACAUCGGAAUCUACUUUUUCGUGGGGGAUAACGUAGGGAAACUUACGCUAAUACCGCAUACGACCUACGGGUGAAAGCAGGGGGUCUUCGGACCUUGCGCGAUUGAAUGAGCCGAUGUCGGAUUAGCUAGUUGGCGGGGUAAAGGCCCACCAAGGCGACGAUCCGUAGCUGGUCUGAGAGGAUGAUCAGCCACACUGGAACUGAGACACGGUCCAGACUCCUACGGGAGGCAGCAGUGGGGAAUAUUGGACAAUGGGCGCAAGCCUGAUCCAGCCAUACCGCGUGGGUGAAGAAGGCCUUCGGGUUGUAAAGCCCUUUUGUUGGGAAAGAAAAGCAGCAGGUUAAUACCACGCUGUUCUGACGGUACCCAAAGAAUAAGCACCGGCUAACUUCGUG